rnacentral:rRNA from 1 species
GAUUAAGUUAUUAAGGGCGCACGGUGGAUGCCUUGGCACUAGAAGCCGAUGAAGGACGUUACUAACGACGAUAUGCUUUGGGGAGCUGUAAGUAAGCUUUGAUCCAGAGAUUUCCGAAUGGGGAAACCCAGCAUGAGUUAUGUCAUGUUAUCGAUAUGUGAAUACAUAGCAUAUCAGAAGGCACACCCGGAGAACUGAAACAUCUUAGUACCCGGAGGAAGAGAAAGAAAAUUCGAUUCCCUUAGUAGCGGCGAGCGAAAUGGGAAGAGCCCAAACCAACAAGCUUGCUUGUUGGGGUUGUAGGACACUCUAUACGGAGUUACAAAGGACGACAUUAGACGAAUCAUCUGGAAAGAUGAAUCAAAGAAGGUAAUAAUCCUGUAGUCGAAAAUGUUGUCUCUCUUGAGUGGAUCCUGAGUACGACGGAGCACGUGAAAUUCCGUCGGAAUCUGGGAGGACCAUCUCCUAAGGCUAAAUACUCUCUAGUGACCGAUAGUGAACCAGUACCGUGAGGGAAAGGUGAAAAGCACCCCGGAAGGGGAGUGAAAUAGAACCUGAAACCGUGUGCUUACAAGUAGUCAGAGCCCGUUAAUGGGUGAUGGCGUGCCUUUUGUAGAAUGAACCGGCGAGUUACGAUUUGAUGCAAGGUUAAGCAGUAAAUGUGGAGCCGUAGCGAAAGCGAGUCUGAAUAGGGCGUUUAGUAUUUGGUCGUAGACCCGAAACCAGGUGAUCUACCCUUGGUCAGGUUGAAGUUCAGGUAACACUGAAUGGAGGACCGAACCGACUUACGUUGAAAAGUGAGCGGAUGAACUGAGGGUAGCGGAGAAAUUCCAAUCGAACCUGGAGAUAGCUGGUUCUCUCCGAAAUAGCUUUAGGGCUAGCCUCAAGUGAUGAUUAUUGGAGGUAGAGCACUGUUUGGACGAGGGGCCCCUCUCGGGUUACCGAAUUCAGACAAACUCCGAAUGCCAAUUAAUUUAACUUGGGAGUCAGAACAUGGGUGAUAAGGUCCGUGUUCGAAAGGGAAACAGCCCAGACCACCAGCUAAGGUCCCAAAAUAUAUGUUAAGUGGAAAAGGAUGUGGCGUUGCCCAGACAACUAGGAUGUUGGCUUAGAAGCAGCCAUCAUUUAAAGAGUGCGUAAUAGCUCACUAGUCGAGUGACACUGCGCCGAAAAUGUACCGGGGCUAAACAUAUUACCGAAGCUGUGGAUUGUCCUUUGGACAAUGGUAGGAGAGCGUUCUAAGGGCAUUGAAGCAUGAUCGUAAGGACAUGUGGAGCGCUUAGAAGUGAGAAUGCCGGUGUGAGUAGCGAAAGACGGGUGAGAAUCCCGUCCACCGAUUGACUAAGGUUUCCAGAGGAAGGCUCGUCCGCUCUGGGUUAGUCGGGUCCUAAGCUGAGGCCGACAGGCGUAGGCGAUGGAUAACAGGUUGAUAUUCCUGUACCACCUAUAAUCGUUUUAAUCGAUGGGGGGACGCAGUAGGAUAGGCGAAGCGUGCGAUUGGAUUGCACGUCUAAGCAGUAAGGCUGAGUAUUAGGCAAAUCCGGUACUCGUUAAGGCUGAGCUGUGAUGGGGAGAAGACAUUGUGUCUUCGAGUCGUUGAUUUCACACUGCCGAGAAAAGCCUCUAGAUAGAAAAUAGGUGCCCGUACCGCAAACCGACACAGGUAGUCAAGAUGAGAAUUCUAAGGUGAGCGAGCGAACUCUCGUUAAGGAACUCGGCAAAAUGACCCCGUAACUUCGGGAGAAGGGGUGCUCUUUAGGGUUAACGCCCAGAAGAGCCGCAGUGAAUAGGCCCAAGCGACUGUUUAUCAAAAACACAGGUCUCUGCUAAACCGUAAGGUGAUGUAUAGGGGCUGACGCCUGCCCGGUGCUGGAAGGUUAAGAGGAGUGGUUAGCUUCUGCGAAGCUACGAAUCGAAGCCCCAGUAAACGGCGGCCGUAACUAUAACGGUCCUAAGGUAGCGAAAUUCCUUGUCGGGUAAGUUCCGACCCGCACGAAAGGCGUAACGAUUUGGGCACUGUCUCAACGAGAGACUCGGUGAAAUCAUAGUACCUGUGAAGAUGCAGGUUACCCGCGACAGGACGGAAAGACCCCGUGGAGCUUUACUGUAGCCUGAUAUUGAAAUUCGGCACAGCUUGUACAGGAUAGGUAGGAGCCUUUGAAACGUGAGCGCUAGCUUACGUGGAGGCGCUGGUGGGAUACUACCCUAGCUGUGUUGGCUUUCUAACCCGCACCACUUAUCGUGGUGGGAGACAGUGUCAGGCGGGCAGUUUGACUGGGGCGGUCGCCUCCUAAAAGGUAACGGAGGCGCUCAAAGGUUCCCUCAGAAUGGUUGGAAAUCAUUCAUAGAGUGUAAAGGCAUAAGGGAGCUUGACUGCGAGACCUACAAGUCGAGCAGGGUCGAAAGACGGACUUAGUGAUCCGGUGGUUCCGCAUGGAAGGGCCAUCGCUCAACGGAUAAAAGCUACCCCGGGGAUAACAGGCUUAUCUCCCCCAAGAGUUCACAUCGACGGGGAGGUUUGGCACCUCGAUGUCGGCUCAUCGCAUCCUGGGGCUGUAGUCGGUCCCAAGGGUUGGGCUGUUCGCCCAUUAAAGCGGUACGCGAGCUGGGUUCAGAACGUCGUGAGACAGUUCGGUCCCUAUCCGUCGUGGGCGUAGGAAAUUUGAGAGGAGCUGUCCUUAGUACGAGAGGACCGGGAUGGACAUACCUCUGGUGUACCAGUUGUCGUGCCAACGGCAUAGCUGGGUAGCUAUGUGUGGACGGGAUAAGUGCUGAAAGCAUCUAAGCAUGAAGCCCCCCUCAAGAUGAGAUUUCCCAACUUCGGUUAUAAGAUCCCUCAAAGAUGAUGAGGUUAAUAGGUUCGAGGUGGAAGCAUGGUGACAUGUGGAGCUGACGAAUACUAAUCGAUCGAAGACUUAAUCAA